rnacentral:lncRNA from 1 species
AGAGCCUUUGUUUCCACAGAUGUGUGAAUGAUUGGGUGAAGUUGUCCUCUGGUGGUUAAGAUAUUCAAAUACCCAAUCAUUUACUGCUAAGGGCAGAAAACUCGGCUGGUAUUCAGGAAACCGGGAUUUCAUUUCCAAAGCUGUGUCGGCCUGAUGGAUGACCCUGGGCAGUCAUUCUGCCUUUGUGCCUUAUUUUCUCUUCUGGAAAACAGGAAAAGCCGUGCCUGGGGCUGUCAUUCACCUUCCCUACAAGCAGCCAGAGGCAAAUGAAGCAUGACUUACUGCCAGAAAGCAAGCAGUUUGAUCUCUGGAAUUGUGAUCUGAAGAUGUUUGAUCAAAGUGGAAAGACAAUUGGGUGGGUGCAAAUAAGAAACACCAAAGGAAAGUGGAACAAAACACUGCUUUCAUUUCAAAGGACUCUUUGAGAAUGUUUCACUGUCUCUAGAGCUGGAGGACUAAGAAUGAAAAAAAUACAUCUGGAUUGAUGGAUGCAUUAUUGGAUUGUGCUUUAGGAUAAGAAAUGGAAGAUGGCCUGCUUUUGAUGAACCUAAGAAUACAAAAAUGUCAACUGGAAUACCAAUGCAGAAAAAUGUGAGCUGUUAAGGAAAAACAAAUGAUCCAAAUGUGUUCAUUUAUCUUUAGCUAUUUUAUUAUUAUUUUAAAUGUCUAAACCAAUAUAAUAAGUAGGUUUGUGUUCUUUUCUAAAUUUAUUCCUACACUCUUCUCUAACACUCAUGACCCAAGAUCUAAAAAAGAAAAGUUACUCAUAUUUCUUAAACUUUUUUCCACAUCUGAGUUAGACUUAGAUGUGUUUAAAGUAGAAAAUAAAUAAUUUUUCAGUGUCUUGUGACUAAAAUAU